AGCCCGAUAGUCUAGCGGCCAAAUGAUUUUCAGGUUAUGGAUUCCGCGCUCUGGACGCGGGGACGGCAGUUCGAAUCUGCCUCGGGCUA
rnacentral:tRNA from 2 species